UACGUAGGUGGCAAGCGUUGUCCGGAUUUACUGGGCGUAAAGUGUGCGCAGGCGGCGCUGCAAGUCGAGUGUGAAAUCCCCGAGCUUAACUUGGGAAUUGCGCUCGAAACUACGGCGCUGGAGUAUGGCAGAGGAAGGUGGAAUUCCACGUGUAGCGGUGAAAUGCGUAGAGAUGUGGAGGAACACCGAUGGCGAAGGCAGCCUUCUGGGCCAAUACUGACGCUCAUGCACGAAAGCGUGGGGAGCAAACAGG
rnacentral:rRNA from 1 species